UACAUAGGCUCCAAGCGUUGUUCGGAUUUAUUGGGCGUAAAGGGUUCGUAGGGGGUCGGCUAAGUCGGAUGUGAAAGCCUGCGGCUCAACUGCAGAAUGCCAUUCGAUACUGGUUGACUAGAGGAUCGGAGAGGAGAGUGGAAUUCCUGGUGUAGCGGUGGAAUGCGUAGAUAUCAGGAGGAACGCCGAUGGCGAAGGCAGCUCUCUGGACGAUACCUGACCCUGAGGAACGAAAGCCGGGGGAGCAAAC
rnacentral:rRNA from 1 species